GCUAGCAGCCAUACCAGCCUCAGGCUGUGAUCUGGUCUGCUCUCAUAAACUAAACAGGGCUGGGUCUGGUUAAUACUCGGACAGGAGACUUCCAAGGAAAUCCCAGGGUGCUACAGGAA
rnacentral:rRNA from 1 species